GUAAAUCAUAUUCUCUCAAUCUACUGGCGAUUUUUUUUUGUGUCCCACCUCUUUGCUCUGGUUUUUAUUUUUGAUUAAUUCAAGGGAAUGCCACAUGGAAAUGACACUGUUUUCUCUGAUAAUCUGAGCCUCAGGCUGCAUUCUGGUAGGCCCAUGUAUUCCUCACUCAGAGCCUGUCCUGUCCCCUCAGGUAGGCCAAACAUAUUCCUCACUCAGAGCCUGUCCUGUUCCCUCAGAUUUGAGAUUCUGGCUGGCCUCCAGAGUCGUGCAGAGGUCUAAGGCACUGCAUCGCAGAGCUGGAGCGUCACUACAGACCCGGGUUCAAUCACAGGCUGUUUCGCAGCCGGCCGCAAAUGGGAGAUCCAUGAAGCACAAAUGGCCCAGCGUCGUCCUGGUUAUGGGAGGGUCGUAUAGUUCUCGACCUUCGACCUCUCCCGAGUUGGUACGGGAGUUGCAGCGAUAGGACUGUAACUUCCAAUUGCAUAUCACAACCAUGUCCUGAGAAAUCCUGUCGGUGUUGUUCUGUGAGCUGUUGCUCACUGAGGGAGAACACUCUAUCAGCUCAGUGGAAAUCAUCCACCGUAUUCCCAGUGUCCAAUCAGAGCCGCUGUCCUCAGUUAUUACAGCCCUGUUGCAUUAACACCUGGCAUAAUGAAUAGUUUGAGUGCCUAAUUCUCUCCCACAUGUAAUGGAUAUUAUUUUCUUCUCUCUCACUGUGAGCCAUCAUUACAGAGAAGUGUGCUGUGGUGAACAUUUAUCUUUAAUAAACCUGUCUGAAGAUAUCUUGGACUUGUUCUUGCCGGCACCUAUAUCUCUACUAGUGUUCUAUCCAC